CACAUCUGUGCCAGGGGUCUUUUCAAGGCCGUGAGGGUGUUUGUCUUUAGGGUGUGUGUAGCCUAUUGCUCCAUCUGAUUUCAUUGGUGUCCUCUCUGUCUAGUCCAGGGUGUGCAAAGUGGACUAGAAUAGUCCCCAGCUAAUAUGUUCCAGCACUGCAUCACUGCUGCCAACACAACAGUUACACUCCUUUAAGGGUGCACAUACCAAGCAAGGCAGCGUCUCUUUUUCAAAAGUGACUUAAUGAAAUGUGAUUGUCUUCCAGGAGGGUACCUUUGUUUGGACUGUUGGAUCCACAACCUAUCCCCUCCUAUCCUUUGCCGACAGACUGCCGUAUGAAGAGGAAGACUGUGUGUACAUUGCACAAACUGAUGGAAAGUGGCACGCUGCCGACUGCACUUUGCUGAAGCCAUAUGUUUGCAAGACACCAGAUCCUAAUCCUGCAAUACAGGAGUAAUCUAUGACUCUGUGUGCCACAUAUUGGCCAAUAAGCUUUUUCGAUCUGUCCUAAGGAACUUUCCAAAUACACUUUUACCGACUUUAACGUUCAAUGCUAUUGAAUAAAUGCUUUCUGAAACAAGAGCGUGGGGGGUGGAGUCUGCAGACGAGCUCUUGUCAGUGACGGUGGAGGACAGACAAACAAGAUUUUUACAACAAAGUUCAGUAGAAAAUGUCCUUUUUAUGGGACAUUUGUGCGUUUGUUGUCUCGUUUGGCUGUGUUGUUUGUCGCAUUUUUGCUGUGUUUGUGCUUGAUGGCAAACAUGCCAAGGAGGUCAUGGUUGGGAUAUAAACAUACUCUUGAUGUUCAAUGUUUCAUUGUUCAUUUACACUCUGGCUGUCUCAUUCAAUAAAAAGCUAUAAAAUGUU